AUGCUCAAUUUAGCAUCACAUACACUAACAUUGGAACAAUACAGAGAAGAUUAGCACACCCCAGGCGCAAGGAUGACAUGAAAAUUUGUGGAGCGUUCCAUAUUUUU